rnacentral:rRNA from 1 species
UAGGGAAUUUUGCGCAAUGGACGAAAGUCUGACGCAGCAACGCCGCGUGAGGGAUGAAGGCCUUCGGGUUGUAAACCUCUGUUGGACGGGAAGAAACGCAGGGCGAAUAACACUCGCCGUGCCUGACGGUACCGUUCGAGGAAGCCCCGGCUAACUACGUGCCAGCAGCCGCGGUAAUACGUAGGGGGCAAGCGUUGUUCGGAAUUACUGGGCGUAAAGGGAACGUAGGCGGGAAGGUAAGUUAGGAGUGAAAUCCACAGGCAUAACCUGUGGCUUGCUUUUAAUACUGCCUUUCUUGAGUAUGGGAGAGGGUGAUGGAAUUCCAGGUGUAGCGGUGGAAUGCGUAGAUAUCUGGAAGAACACCAGUUGCGAAGGCGGUCACCUGGCCCAAUACUGACGCUGAUGUUCGAAAGCUAGGGGAGCAAACAGGAUUAGAUACCCUGGUAGUCCUAGCCGUAAACUAUGGACACUAGUUGUUGGAGGGCUUUGUCCUUUCAGUGACGUAGCUAACGCGUUAAGUGUCCCGCCUGGGGAGUACGCUCGCAAGGGUG